GAGGUGCUAGUAAAAUAUUUACCUUGUCUUGUCAAGACAAAAUUGUGGGUUAAACCCCCACGCACCUUA
rnacentral:tRNA from 2 species